rnacentral:piRNA from 1 species
UGAAGGAAAACGGACGGUGCUUCCUGCC